UAGAUACUCCCUCCGUCCGGAAAUACUUGUCAUCAAAAUGGAUGAAAAUGAAUGUAUCUACAACUAAAAUGCAUCUAGAUACAUCCAUUUCAAUGACAAGUAUUUCCGGACGGAGGGAGUAUCUG
rnacentral:pre_miRNA from 1 species